CCGAGGAGGCUUGCACAGGUGUUGCAUGGCUGCCGUCAGCUCGUGUCGUGAGAUGUUCGGUUAAGUCCGCUAACGAGCGCAACCCUCGCUGUAUGUUACAUGUGUCAUACAGGACCGCCGGUAUCAAGCCGGAGGAAGGUGGGGAUGACGUCAAGUCCGCAUGGCCUUUAUGUCCGGGGCUACACACACGCUACAAUGGUCGGUACAAUGGGUUGCUAAGCCGCGAGGUGGAGCCAAUCCCCCAAAGCCGGCCUCAGUUCAGAUUGCAGGCUGCAACUCGCCUGCAUGAAGCUGGAGUUGCUAGUAAACGCGCGUCAGCUAUAGUGCGUUGAAUACGUUCUCGGGCCUU
rnacentral:rRNA from 1 species